rnacentral:rRNA from 1 species
UACGUAGGGGGCAAGCGUUGUCCGGAUUUAUUGGGCGUAAAGAGCGUGUAGGCGGCUAGAUAGGUCCGUUGUGAAAACUCGAGGCUCAACCUCGAGACGUCGAUGGAAACCAUCUGGCUAGAGUCCGGAAGAGGAGAGUGGAAUUCCUGGUGUAGCGGUGAAAUGCGCAGAUAUCAGGAAGAACACCCGUGGCGAAGGCGGCGACCUGGUCCGAUACUGACGCUGAGGCGCGAAAGCGUGGGGAGCAAACAGG